GCGAACAUGAGCCCCAACCUAUUUAAAGAAGGAGCUCGCGUCUCCUCGGUCUUUACUUCAGCGGACACGUGUGAGCGGAGGGAAUCGAACACGUCCUCACUUCAUAAAACCAAACAUCAUCAUGGGCUCCAGCAAGUGUCCCGACAGGUUUUAUCUGGAUCAAAUGCCUUUUGUUGGACACCUGUAUGAUCCUGAUGGAGGAUGACGUGGUGUCUGAUCUUCUGAAGAAUGUCCUGCUACUAACAUCACAGUCUGCAGUUACAGCAGUGUGACUACUACAGGAAAUGGGUCUGAAAGGACGUCCUGUCUGACUCAGCGCCGUUUGAAAAGUGUCCGGGUUUAAGUUUGGGGAAAUGAAACCACAUGAGAUGUUGCAGCAGCUGUGAAAGACCCAGUCGUAGGAAGUGCUCGUGCUUUGCAGGUGAGACACUGGGCUCCUGAAGGAAAGUGGACCAGUGGAACAUCGUCCUCCUCCUGAAACUUGUUACUAAAUGUGAAUCUAUUUGUGAUAUUGUCUUAUAAAUAAUGCCUUAUGAAUCUACACUGUACUCCAAUUUAAGAAAUAAAAAUGUUUUUAAACUCCA